UACAGAGGGUGCGAGCGUUAAUCGGAAUUACUGGGCGUAAAGGGUGCGUAGGUGGUGGCAUAAGUUAGGUGUGAAAGUCCUGGGCUUAACCUGGGGAUUGCGCCUAAUACUGUGAGGCUUGAGUAUUGUAGAGGAAAGUGGAAUUUCCGGUGUAGCGGUGAAAUGCGUAGAUAUCGGAAGGAACAUCAGUGGCGAAGGCGACUUUCUGGACAAAUACUGACACUGAGGCACGAAAGCAUGGGGAGCAAACAGG
rnacentral:rRNA from 2 species